UUGGUCGUGGACAAUCAGCCGCGUCAUUAACUCGUAAGAGCGAAGUGGUUCACUUUUUCCUUUUUUUUUUUUGAUCGUGAUGUGCGUGUUAUCUCUUGGUUUUUUCAUCGGGAAAAGUAGUGAAUCGGAAUGUUUGAACUUGUUUCUUUGAGACUGUUUCUCGUUUAUAUACGAGUAUAUACGUAACAGAGAUACGAAAAUACGUGAAAUGAAAAUGAAAUUUAGGUUAGGUAUGGGUAUGGUACACUCUCAGUUGGAUUCGUGAUUAAAGGUUAUUUAUUGACGUAAAUCUUUUGAUAUCUUGUUCUCUUUUUGAAAAGUACUAACCGGGUCAUUUGAAUUUGUUUCUCUAUACGUAUGUAUAUGUUCUUCACAAGAUAAAUUAGAUCAAGAUUAAAGGUUAUAAUCGUAAAAUUGGUAUCAAUGGUGAAUGAAUUGAAUAAUUGAAUAAGUGUUAAAAAGAUAAUUGUAAUAAUUCGUUAUAUUAAAUAAAUUUUUAUCCUGAUUUUAUCCUGAAUCUUUGAACAAAUAUAAUAAAUCAAAACAAUAGCAUCAAAUUAUUGAAUCCAAUAAAAUGUAAUAUUUUUAAAUCCAUUGAAUAAUAGAUCUAAUAAUAGUUGAGAAAAAAAAAUAUUUAUAAUAAGCUAACUAAAUACUUAAAAAUAAUAAGCCAACUAUUCUAUAAAUGGCAGAACAUUACGAGAAGAAAUGUUUCAUUCAAACAAAAUUCUCGAUCAACGAACAGUUAAACAGUCUGUAGAACAAAAAUAUCAUUAGAAGAUCGACUACAGUUAACAUGAAAAUAACUCGAUUGUUAUUAAUUUAACGUUGGAGAUGUACAACUUCAACAGUACUUGUUAUAUACGAAGGAAAUGUAAUUUUGCAUGUGAAAACAGUUUUUGUUGAGAUUAGAAAUUACAACUUAAAAAGAUCAAAGAACCGAUAAAUAAUAAGAAGACUCGAAAUUAAAGAAAACGUCAGAAUAAUCGAGACCUUUCAUGGUUCAUGGCUCGAUAAAUUAGACGACGCUGUUUUAAAAACACUUGGUAAAUUACGAAUAGACAGUCUUCAGGAUGGGGAAAGAAAUGAUCGAGGAAGAACAAUUCGUUUUAACUACAGCCCUUCGCAAGAAGUCCCUUCAUCACCAAGUAGAUUAACUCGACUCGGUUUCACCGGAAUUUUUCCACGUCACUAUACCGUCGUCUCUUUAGUCAAUUAAAGUAUCCUUUAUCUUAACAUCCUUA